rnacentral:rRNA from 1 species
GAUCAUGGCUCAGGAUGAACGCUAGCGGGAGGCCUAACACAUGCAAGCCGAGCGGUAGAGAUUCUUCGGGAUCUUGAGAGCGGCGUACGGGUGCGGAACACGUGUGCAACCUACCUUUAUCUGGAGGAUAGCCUUUCGAAAGGAAGAUUAAUACUCCAUAAUAUAUUGAUUGGCAUCGAUUGAUAUUGAAAGCUCCGGCGGAUAGAGAUGGGCACGCGCAAGAUUAGCUAGUUGGUGAGGUAACGGCUCACCAAGGCGAUGAUCUUUAGGGGCCUGAGAGGGUGAUCCCCCACACUGGUACUGAGACACGGACCAGACUCCUACGGGAGGCAGCAGUGAGGAAUAUUGGUCAAUGGGUGCAAGCCUGAACCAGCCAUCCCGCGUGAAGGACGACUGCCCUAUGGGUUGUAAACUUCUUUUGUAUAGGGAUAAACCUACCCUCGUGAGGGUAGCUGAAGGUACUAUACGAAUAAGCACCGGCUAACUCCGUG